rnacentral:sRNA from 1 species
UUGUUGGAUUCCUCUGGGAGAAAGCUUCAACAGCACCAGAUAAUUUUUCCCAAUCUCUUUCCCAACCGAAAUGAGUAAGUAUUUGUCAUCUAUAUCUUUGUCAUCCGAAAUCAUUGAAGUAAGUAUUUUUCUUUUGUCAAAUUAUAAUACUUUACAAUAUCAUUGUAGUCUAAUGUGAUAAUUCAUUUUCUUUUUGUAGGUUUUAUCUAUGUUUUCUGAUCAAUUAGAGGAUAAAUGUUCUCCUUUCACUAGAAUGCAAACUUUUAAGUUAAUAUGUGAUGCAUCUUCCUCCUCUGCAUGCCUCAGGAUGUAAAAGAAUAUUUAUUUGGUGCAUCUUGUUGAUUUAAUUUACAUGGAUGUGAAGGAGCAAAAUGGAAAAACCAAUAUCGUUGAUGUCUUUUUGCGGAGAAGUUAAACGGAAUUAGAUGUUAUAAAAUGGCUUCAUUGACUCUUUCAUUGUCUGGAUCAUGAGGAAUUGUACUUGCCAGUGAUAUAAUCACCAAUGACCAGAAUAGCAUUGCUUCUGGUGAUGGACCAAAAACAUCAAAUUCUUCAUUAAAAAAAAGUAGUUUUUUUUUCCUUUUCCU